GGGAAAGUAGCAUAACUGGUUAAUGCGGCUCAUGCAAUGUCGCAUGUUCGCAUCAUUGCGAGAAGUUCUUAGUUCGAUUCUGAGCUUUCCCG